rnacentral:rRNA from 1 species
CCUACGGGCGGCAGCAGUGAGGAAUAUUGGUCAAUGGACGCAAGUCUGAACCAGCCAUGCCGCGUGCAGGAAGACGGCUCUAUGAGUUGUAAACUGCUUUUGUACGAGGGUAAACGCAAAUACGCGUAUCUGUCUGAAAGUAUUGUACGAAUAAGGAUCGGCUAACUCCGUGCCAGCAGCCGCGGUAAUACGGAGGAUCCAAGCGUUAUCCGGAUUUAUUGGGUUUAAAGGGUGCGCAGGCGGAAUAUCAAGUUAGCGGUAAAAUUGAGAGGCUAAACCGCUUAGAGCCGUUGAUACUGGUUUUCUUGAGUGAGUGAGAGGUAGGCGGAAUGCGUGGUGUAGCGGUGAAAUGCAUAGAUAUCACGCAGAACUCCGAGUGCGAAGGCAGCAUACCGGCGCUCAACUGACGCUGAUGCACGAAAGUGUGGGUAUCGAACAGGAUUAGAUACCCCAGUAGUC